UUAUCCCUGUUUAAACAAAAAAGCAAGAUUUGCGAAGCGUUAGGCAGGUCUUGUUCAUAUAUAAGACCCUGAGUAAGCAGGCCACACCGCACUCACUCCCUUCCUCCUGCUGACUCCACCUCCAGACGCUCUUCGCAGAAAUGACUCCCAACAAGUGCUAUCUCCUGCUGGCGGCGGUGCUGGUGGCCAUGCUCCUGGUGGUGUUCCCGGCGGAGGCAGCGCCCCAGGUUGGCUACGGCGUCUUCCCGCAGGCCGGGGGCUCCUUCCCGCGUGCCAGCGCCUUCCUCCAGGGUCCCUACUCCACCUUCGGAGGGUACAGCCUUGAGAUCGGCAGCUUCGAGAAUGAGCGGAGAAUCUACGUCUAAGAACAGACAUCUUCCCCCUGACUCCAAUCCCUAUUGUGACAAGUUUCAUAUCCUGACGUACCCAGUUCCAUCUCCUGCUGCCCUUUCUCCAGUGUGGUCUAACGUCACCAUGCCUGAGUUCCAGUUCACGGCUGGAGCCUGAGGAUGACUCGACGCAGCGUGAAUAUUCCCGGUCUCCAUCUUGAGGUUAUCUUGAGGUUAUCUUGAGGUUAUCUUGAGACGCUACUAUUGAAAUCUUGUGCUGUUGUGUGCAGAUUAUAUUUGUAAAGUCUCGCUGUGAAAAUCAUCAUAAGCCUUCAUUAAAAUUAUGUUCAUGGUGUACUUUU